rnacentral:misc_RNA from 1 species
AAGUCGUAACAAGGUUUCCGUAGGUGAACCUGCGGAAGGAUCAUUAAUGAAAGAUAAUUUUUUGGGGUUUUCCCUGAAAAAUAAUUCACCAUUUGUGCAUUGUUAUUAGAUAUACUUUGGUUAGAGCUUUGAUUUCAUUUAUUGGAAUCAACUUCUUGCUGACUCUAUCGUAUUGAAUGGGACAGUUGGCUAUGAAGCGGCCUACCAAGGUUUUUUUAUCAAACUCUUGUAUUUUGUCUGACCUAAAUAUCAAUAAUUAAAUCAUAACUUUCAACAACGGAUCUCUUGGCUCUC